rnacentral:tRNA from 1 species
GGGCCCGUAGUCUAGUGGUUAUGACGUCACGCUUACAACGUGAAGGUCGGGCGUUCGAUUCUCCCCGGGCCCA